UUUUUUUUCGUUCGGCCCAAAAUGUCACGGAUGUGUCUUUUUUUUGUAGUGCAUCAUUGUCAUAUUGCUCUUUGCAUGAUCAUGUAGUUGACAUCGUAUUUGUGGCAAGGCCACCUUCAUAAUUUUCAUUCAUGUCACUCUUGAUUCAUUGCAUAUCCCGAUACACCGCCGGAGGCAUUCACAUAGAGUCAUAUUUUGUUCUAAGUAUUGAGUUGUAAUUCUUGAGUUGUAAAUCAAUAAAAGUGUGAUGAUCUUCAUUAUUAGAGCAUUGUCCCAAGUGAGGAAAGGAUGAUGAAGACUAUGAUUCCCCCACAAGUUAGGAUGAGACUUCGGACUUUAUAAAAAAUAAAAGAGCCCAAAGAAGCCCAUGAGAAAAAAAAGAUGCCAAAGAAGCCCACCAAAAAUAAAUAAAAAUAAAAAAAUGAGAGAAAAAGAGAGAAGGGACAAUGCUACUAUCUCUUUUUCCACACUUGUGCUUCAAAGUAGCACCAUGAUCUUCAUGAUAGAGAGUCUCUUAUGUUGUCACUUUCAUAUACUAGUGGGAAAUUUUCAUUAUAGAACUUGGCUUGUAUAUUCCAAUGAUGGUCUUCCUCAAAACGCCCUAGGUCUUCGUGAGCAAGCAAGUUGGAUGAACACCCACUUAGUUUCUUUUGUUGAGAUUUCACAUAUUUAUAGCUCUAGUGCAUCCGUUGCAUGGCAAUCCCUACUCACUCACAUUGAUAUCUAUUAAUGGGCAUCUCCAUAGCCCGUUGAUACGCCUAGUUGAUGUGAGACUAUCUUCUCCCUUUUCGUCCUCACAACCACCACCAUAUACCACCUAUAGUGCUAUGUCCAUGGCUUGCGCUCAUGUAUUGCGUAAGAGUUGAAAAAGCUGAAUCGCGUUAAAAAGAAUGAACCAAUUGCUUGGCUGAAACCGGGGUUGUGCAUGAUGGAAGUAUUUUGUGUGAUAAAGAUGAACCAUGGCCUAACUAUAUGAGUUUCUAGGGAUAAGCUUUCUUUUGCUAUGUUGUUUUGAUAGGACAUGAUUAUUUGCUACUAUGCUUUGAAGUAUUACUAUUUUUAUGUUUUAUAAGUUUUUAUCUUGAAUCAUUUGCAUCUAAAUAAUCAUGCCACAAUAAAGAGAAAUACAUUGAGAAUUAUGCUAGGUAGCAUUCCACAUCAAAAAUUCUGUUUUUAUCACCUACCUACUCGAGGACGAGCAGGAAUUAAGCUUGGGGAUGCUUGAUAAGUCUCCAAUGUAUCUAUAAUUUUUGAUUGUUUCAUGCUAUUAUAUUACCUAUUUUGGAUGUUUAUGGGCUUUACUUUACACUUUUAUAUCAUUUUUGGGACUAACCUAUUAACCGGAGGCCCAGCCCGAAUUGCUAUUUUUUUGCCUAUUUCAGUAUAUCGAAGGAAAGGAAUAUCAAACGGAGUCAAAAUGGAAUGAAACCUUCAGGAGCGAUCUUUUUGGAACAAACGCAAUCCAGGAGACUUUGAGUGGACGUCAAGAAGCAUCCGAGGCGGCCAUGAGGGUGGCCGGCGCGCCUAGUAAGGGUGGGCGCGCCCCCUGCCUCAUGGGCCCCUCGUGGCUCCCCUAACCGACUUCCUUCGCAUAUAUAUNNNNNNNNNNNNNNNNNNNNNNNNNNNNNNNNNNNNNNNNNNNNNNNNNNNNNNNNNNNNNNNNNNNNNNNNNNNNNNNNNNNNNNNNNNNNNNNNNNNNNNNNNNNNNNNNNNNNNNNNNNNNNNNNNNNNNNNNNNNNNNNNNNNNNNNNNNNNNNNNNNNNNNNNNNNNNNNNNNNNNNNNNNNNNNNNNNNNNNNNNNNNNNNNNNNNNNNNNNNNNNNNNNNNNNNNNNNNNNNNNNNNNNNNNNNNNNNNNNUACCCCGAAAACAUCCAGGAGCACCACGAAAACCUAAUUCCACCGCCGCAACCUUCUAUAUCAGUGAGAUCCCAUCUUGGAGCCUUCGUCGGUGCUCCGUUGGAGGGGGAAUCCAUGACGAAGGGCCUCUCCAUCACCACCAAGGCCUCUCUGAUGAGUUGUGAGUAGUUUACCACAGACCUUCGGGUCCAUAGUUAUUAGCUAGAUGGCCCCUUCUCUCUCUUUGAUUCUCCAUACAAAGUUCUCCUUACUCUUCUUGGAGAUCUAUUUGAUGUAACUCUUUUUGCGGUGUGUUUGUUGAGAUCCGAUGAACUGUGGGUUUAUGAUCAAGUUUAUCUAUGAGAAAUAUUUGAAUCUCCUCUGAAUUCUUUUAUGUAUGAUUGGUUAUCUUUGCAAGUCUCUUCGAAUUAUCAGUUUGGUUUGGCCUACUCGAUUGAUCUUUCUUGCCAUGGGAGAAGUGCUUAGCUUUGGGUUCAAUCUUGCGGUGUUCGAUCCUAGUGACAGAAAGGGAAACGACACGCAUUGUAUUGUUGCCAUUGAGGAUAAAAAGAUGGGGUUUAUAUCCUAUUGCAUGACUUUAUCCCUCUACAUCAUGUCAUCUUGCUUAAUGCAUUACUCUGUUCUUAUGAACUUAAUACUCUAGAUGAAGGCAGGAGUCGGUCGAUGUGUGGAGUAAUAGUAGUAGAUGCAGGCAAGAGUCGGUCUACUUGUUGCGGACGUGAUGCCUAUAUACAUGAUCAUGCCUAGAUAAUCUCAUAACUAUGCGCUUUUCUAUCAAUUGCUCGACAGUAAUUUGUUCACCCACCGUAAUAAUUAUGCUAUCUUGAGAGAAGCCACUAGUGAAACCUAUGGCCCCCGGGUCUAUCUUUUAUCAUACAAGUUUUCCAUCUACUUUUAUUUGCAUCUUUUACUUUCCAAUCUAUAUCUUAAAAAUACCAAAAAUAUUUACCUUAUCAUAUUAUCUCUAUCAGAUCCCACUCUCGCAAGUUUGUGUGAAGGGAUUGACAACCCCUUUAUCGCGUUGGUUGCGAGGUUCUUGUUUGUUUGUGUAGGUGCGUGGGACUUUUGAGGAGCCUCCUACUGGAUUGAUACCUUGGUUCUCAAAAACUGAGGGAAAUACUUAUGCUACUGUGCUGCAUCACCCUUUCCUCUUCAAGGAAAACUAACGCAAGCUCAAGACGUAGCAUGAGGUCUCAUCCUCUUUCCCACGUCCACAUCGAUCAAUCUAUACCUCUCUAUAUAGGAUUACAGGGUUGUUUGGUUUGAGACGAAGUUUGCCAAAGCUUGCCACACCUAAGGUUAGGCAAAUUUGACCAACUUAGGUGUGUGUUUGGUUCAAGCCACAUCUUAGGCAAGCCACACUAUGGUCCCACAUCACAUACACACAACAAGUGUGGCAAGAUUCCCUUAGGCUUGCCAACUUGGGGUCAUUUUGAAGAACUAACCUUGGGCAAGUUUGGCAACAUUGUAUGGCAAAGUGUCGAACUCCUAAGCCUAGAACCGAACAACCCCUAAAUAUAUAGCUAAUACACCCACAUUAAUUAUGUAUCUAACGUCCCCCUCUCAUCAUCCAUGCCUUCCGCUUCAUCUCUCAGACACGCGCACAAUGGCAAAGACAGGGGGCAGCAAGGGCCCUGUCCCCCCCCCCCCUAACAUCACUAUAUAUCAAGGCUAAUAUAAAUGUGAUCAUUAGACAAUUGCUGGUAAAAAUGGUUUAAGUNNNNNNNNNNNNNNNNNNNNNNNNNNNNNNNNNNNNNNNNNNNNNNNNNNNNNNNNNNNNNNNNNNNNNNNNNNNNNNNNNNNNNNNNNNNNNNNNNNNNNNNNNNNNNNNNNNNNNNNNNNNNNNNNNNNNNNNNNNNNNNNNNNNNNNNNNNNNNNNNNNNNNNNNNNNNNNNNNNNNNNNNNNNNNNNNNNNNNNNNNNNNNNNNNNNNNNNNNNNNNNNNNNNNNNNNNNNNNNNNNNNNNNNNNNNNNNNNNNNNNNNNNNNNNNNNNNNNNNNNNNNNNNNNNNNNNNNNNNNNNNNNNNNNNNNNNNNNNNNNNNNNNNNNNNNNNNNNNNNNNNNNNNNNNNNNNNNNNNNNNNNNNNNNNNNNNNNNNNNNNNNNNNNNNNNNNNNNNNNNNNNNNNNNNNNNNNNNNNNNNNNNNNNNNNNNNNNNNNNNNNNNNNNNNNNNNNNNNNNNNNNNNNNNNNNNNNNNNNNNNNNNNNNNNNNNNNNNNNNNNNNNNNNNNNNNNNNNNNNNNNNNNNNNNNNNNNNNNNNNNNNNNNNNNNNNNNACAAUCUAGCAUACUCCAUGGUUGAACUUAAGCAUAAUGCACAAAACUAAAAACAAUAGUGGUUCUCCUUUGUUCUAGAAUCUUCCGCAUCAUAAUUGCCCAAACUUUUUUUAUAGUUGAAUUGUCAUUAUUUGUUUUUACUUUAUGCUUUACAACGCACAAUUCCAUGAAUCAUAAAAUAUAUUAAGGGCUUCUUUGAUUAAAAGGAUUCUCAAAGGAAUUUUGGAGGAUUCUAAUCCUUAGGAAUUUUUCCUAUUUUGGUUGUUUGAUUCGUAGGAUUGUAAACCAUAGGAAUUUUUCCAUAUGAUUCAUUUGCAUGAUUUCAUAGGAAACAUCCCAUCCACUGAAACCUCUUUGAAAGAAUUCUAUGUUCUUUCUAUGCACAAUCAAACACUCAUACAAUCCUAUAGGAUUCAAGACGACAUUCCACUAUAAUCCCAUGUUUUUCCUAUUCCCGAGUUUUGGAAAUCCUACGAAUCCAAGAGGCCCUAGAUUUUUUAUCAAAACUAAUUGAUUUUGAAUGAGAUGAACUAUAAGAAUUAAACGAAGGUCUACAUUAGGCAUAUAUGACUCAGAUCUUAUAUGCUAUAGUGUGGUAUUUAUUCAUAAUUUGGUUGCAAAAUCCGAUGCGUGCAAUGCACGUGUACCUUACUAGUACUUUGAGUAUGUGCAAAACACGUAAAUUAUAAUUCCAAUGGCAUGCUACACAGUGUCUCUCUUACAGCUCAUGAAGCCACGUGGCACAUGUGGAGGCAUUGUCGUGACCUCCUUAUGUGGAUUGAUCACAGUGAUGUGCUACUGGUUCCAGAAGAAUGUACUCGUCCUCCCUGAGCCAUACUGUCAGUACAUGCAUGAAGCGAAGAUGUGCACGCAUGCCACGCACGCACUCAUUCCCUCGCACGCCCACGCGGGUACACGGGAGGACGCAAUUUUGUACCAAGAUCCACCCCAUGUGAUAAUUUUUUUUUGAAAGUCCCCAUGUGAUAAUUUGACGUGUGUAAAGUCAUUCACUUCAUUGAUGGUCAAUUAAUACAGCGAAUGCAAAUUGAGUGGAAGUGAGGGCGGAAGAAAGAAAUUACUACUCCACUCCGCAUGCGAGUAGUUAAAUCAUGGGUUGCUAGUAGUACUUCCAUUGGUCUCCUUCAUAUUUUGUGCCAAUUUUUGACAGUAACAUAAUAUUUAUGCAUUUGAGCAGCGUAGUCUACUUGAAAUUUAUGUUCCACUAAACUCAUCGGGAGCCGUUUCAGGCCUCGAAACCAAAACCAUCAAUUAAUCUUUACCUUGUUCCCAUCACAUUCGAAAGCCUGCUCACACCUACUAGUACAUACCAAACCUGAACCUGUUCCCACUAUGCAGGUAUUAGUACUAGUGCUAGUACUUAGGUUAUAAAAAGGGGAACUACCUAACCGAAAAUUACUCUACCUUUCCUCCUCAUAAGUGCUUCUUCUUUGUCCGUCCUUGCCAUGGCCAGUGAGCAGAGCUCUAGGUCGAGAACUACUCGUAACAAGGGAGCGGUAACCAAGGCUGUGGAAAAAAAAGAGGGCUCGCCGCCACGCAGAGACCUCGAAAGAUCUCACGGGCAGGCGUUGGCUCCUAGGAGCGCCCUAGCCGCGGAGGAGAACAUGCCGAGCCGGCGGCGCUGGAGUCGUUAUCCCUCGAUGGCAUGCCCGAUCAGCUCAAUAAGCACCUCAAUAAGCAGAAGGAAUUCAUCCAUGGCUUGGUGGAUCUGUUGAAGGAGAGCCUUGACGACAUGCCCGCUGAGCUCAAUAAGCAGGGGGAGUUGACCUCCGGCUUGGUGAUGCUGCUAAAGAAGAGCAUUGCCUUGGAGAAGAAGGCGACCGGCAAAAUCCUGCAACUUCAGGAGGACAAGGCGAAGCUCUGCCACGAGAUUGACCUAUUGAAGGAGAAGAACGCCAGCUGGGAGAAGCUGCAUUAGAAUAGUAGUUCCUCGAUAAAGAUGUUGUAGGCCCUCAUCAUGGAACAGAAGGAGGAGUUGGCGAAGCUCCGCAUCAAGCACCCGGCCUCUGUCAAGGUACGUAAUGCGGUCGUGGAACAGAUGAUGAAGGCUUGCGUCGAGAAAUCCCGCGUCAUGGACAGAAUGAAGAAGAUGGCGGAGGAGACGCGCAAGGAGAUGGAGGUCGUGGAGGCGAUGAAGAAGCAGUUACGACUCCGCGGCGAAUUAGAUCAUUUGGGGUGAUAAUCUUCCUUCUUCUUUUGCUCUUGUGUUUCAUCUUUUGCUUCGGGUGCUUCGCCGCACAUGUCACGUUCUCUGAGGCAUGAAUAGGACAAUGCUAACAACGAGAUGACUAGCAAAUUAGAUCAUUUUUAACGCCAUAUGGAAAUGGGCUGCCAUGUUUCGUGCUCCUCCGUCGUAGUACUAGUCCAGUGGAAAACUUGAGUAUACCGCACGGUUCUUUGCUCCAUCUCAGGUCGUCGGCACAUUUAUACGAGUAGUCAAAUCACAAGGCCCCGCCUUCCAGCAGUAAUGAGACGUCAAAUCACAAAGGCCCUCGCCUCUCGUGAAACCGACCAAGCUAGACUGCCCCGCCCUCUAGCCUUUUAAAAAACGUAUACUUUUGUACAGUAGUAGUAUUGAUGGAUUGCGUCAUGGAGCAAAACUUGAAAUUAAAAAAAGGUGGUACAUAUAGAGAGCGCUCGUCGCCAAAUUAUGCAUAUAGUACUAUUAAAAAAGCUAGUCAUAAUAAUGGUGUCCAGCACAACCCACCCCUCAAGUAAAACUAAGCACCCUGGAAUUCUUUGACAAAACUUAGCACCCUGAAAUUCUUUGACAACUAAACUGUUGGCUAUAUGAUGUUGGCCAUAUAUAUUGUACAUAUAUAAUGUGAAGAAACGAGUGGUAGUACUAUACCAACUAAAAGAUGAAAUGUAAGAAAUACUAGUAUGUACGUACUGAAGAGUUAAAGUAAUGAGAAGAAACAUAACAUAGUUUUGCUGGGGGCUCAGCACAACACACCCCUCAAAUUAAACUAAGCACACCUGAAAUUAAACUAUGCAACUAAUCCAGUAGACACUACAUUAGAACCACCAUGAGCAACAACACUGCCACCUUACUCGGAGUCCUUUUCCACGUCCUCUACUUCGUCCUUGUCCCUCUUCCUCUUGGUCGAUACUUCUUUGCUUGAACCGCACACUUGGCUCUUGCUCUUCAUCCAACCCUUGUAGAUAUUAAAACAAAGGUAGCCAUCCAUUGCAGCAUACUGGAUGUGGUCUAUAUCUAGUACAUUCCGCUGCCAUGCAUGACGAGGAAACAUGUAAUGAGGUUUCUCUACUUUACCGUACGAAGGAUGAACCAUGGCUCCAGCCAGGGUCAGCAUUGAAGGCUGAACACUGGAGGGCAGCAGCCGAUUCUUCUGGAGGUCAAAGGGGUUGCCUACAAUGAGGCCUAUCCGACCCAGGACUCAUUCAUCGUUCGUAAAGUCUAUAGUAACGAAUUUGACUAGGUCGCUCUUGAGGAAGUUCUUAAAAUCCUGGCAUUCAAUGUCGGCAUGGCAUAUGUGGUAGAUCAAGCAUAAGUCAUGCACGCAAACCUGGAUCAUGGCGGGAUUCUUCCUCUCUUCCUCCUUUAGAUCCUUCUCUCGUCCCAGGACUGUGGUGUAGUCAACAUCUAGCCCAGCGGCCCACUCAUCAUUUGAGUUUUCAAACAUGCGUCUGAAGCGAGCAAGGCAUCAUUUCAUCGUCGCAGAAGAACGAGUGAAGAUGACAUCGAACUCAUCGCCGGUGAUGGUUCUAACCUUGUACUCACCGCCGAUCAUGAAGAUUUGGGACGCCAUGGGUUUGGGAGGAGGGUUAGGAUUAGUGGAACUAUCGUAAUGUGAAAGGACGGGACGACUAGGAGCGAACCACCGUAAUAUAAAGGACGUGCGGGGACGAGUAGGAGUGAACUGCUAGCGUGCAAACGGCAUGGUAGUGGCUUUCCAUUCUCCCAUGAUACGGGCUUCCGAGAGCCCUUGGAUCUGAGAUCGAAUGGUUGCAUGGCGUGAUUCUAGACCUAUGGGUGAAUAUCCUAUCCUGGAGGGUUAUUCUGCAAAUUUUCAGCAACUUAGCAUGCGAUCGUUCGAUCUCAGAUCCAAGGGUUGUCAGCAGCCCGUAUCUUGGUCGCGCCUACCACGACCGUCGCGUCGCUCGCGCGGUCGCGCCCUUGGAGAUAUAACAUGCUGCGUUAGGCUAUCUGAUGUUGGCAUGUCAUGCAUAGUCAUCACUUAGUCACUCAUACUAUAACAAGGUUAGCUAUAAGAUUGUCUAUAAGUGUAUUUUUUUACUUCUCUCUACCUCUCUCUUCGUAGUAUUUAUUGCAUUUGCCAAGGAGUGACCUCUUCCAAUGAAAUGGUGCUUAGAUGAUGUGCUAAGGGCAUUAAAUGGCUUAGCAAUCAAGUCCCCAAUGCAUAGGUGCUUAGUUUUUUGUUGCUAAGUUUGCUUCAUUUAAUUAGCUAUAAACUCAAAAUUGUAUUUUCACCUAGGUACACGCGCUUAGCACCGUUUCUUCCUUGGGUCACCAAACUAGUCUCUCUCUUCUUAAUUAACUUGCCACAUCAGACUUUAUGCCUAUGUGGCAAGCUUAGCACAUGUAGGAGCAAGUAAGUGCAAUAGUGGGCUAUAAGCCCGCUUUACAUGACAUUUUUGCAUAUGUGGAGGAAAGAUGCAAGGAAAAAGUGGAGAAGUGGGCUCUCAUGCAAGAGCCAGCCUCUACAUAUUGGAGCGUUGAGAGAGGCACCUGUAUGAAGGUGGUCAGGAAUCAGAAGACUCACAUCGAUUAUAGCACCGCGGUUAAAAUGAUAAUGGCAAGUCAAAUCACAGGGCCCCACCUGUCUAGCAGUAACUCAUUGUCAAAUCACACAACCCUACAUUUGCAGCAGCCUACUUCCUCAUCUUCUCGCGUCUCUGUCAAACCGACUAGGCAGAAUUGCCCCGCCUACUGUGCAGGAAAAGCCCCGCCCUCGACAUUUAAAUAGUACAGUGGCCCUGUUUGGAUACUCUAACUUAGUUAGAGGUUAGGGUUAGAUUCUAACCCUGAACUAACUCUAACCGAAAAGGUGUUUGGAUGGCAGGAUUAGAUUGACAAUAAAUGUUCUUUCUCAAUCAAUUGGCCAAGAGCUGCGCUGUCCGGGGCAGACAAGGACGCGCCUGGCAAGGAGCUGCGCUGGCCUCUCGCGCAGCCCGCCGGCCGAAUCCGCCAGCCCUGCACAAGGAACCGCGCUGGGACGGGCCACGCAAGGAGCCGUGACUGCUUAUCAGCGGGCGGACGGUCGUGGGGAGACGAUGGGGUUGGAACGGGGGGAUAGGGCAAGGCUGCUGCGGGAAGAGCGAGAGAAAAAUGUGUUUUUAGUGGUUCCGGGAAAAACUAACCCAAAUAAGCACCUCUUGGAUGGGUUAGUUUUUUGGGAGGGUUAGAUGCAUCUAACUCAAACUAACCCUCCCUGUUUGGAUAUUUUUGGGUUAGUUGAGUCCAAACUAACCCAAACUAACUCUAACCUAUGUAUCCAAACAGGGCCAGUAUACUAAUUUUGUAUCCAUGGAUUGCGCCAUGGAGCAAAGCCUCAAGAAAACGGCGGUACACAUGUACGGAGUAUACAUCACACCCAUCGCAUUCACGUCACACCCCAGAUGGUCGGUCGGUCUAGCACACUGCUCUCCGAAUGGAACGCACGUCAUAUUGCGUUUGCACACACAUGUGGGACCGCAAUUGAGAAGCGACCAUAGGCACACUCCCCGGCCCCGCAAGUAGGGUGGAGAGAGACGAGCCAUAGUACUAGAGAAGUGUUGUACUAUGUUGGUGCCUGGACGAUCCCUGCAAGACACGAAAGAUUAGUUUGUCCAUGCAUGUGACCAGACUCCAGCAGACACACCCGGAUUGGCUAUCGUCCCCAUAUCAUGCAGGCUGUGUUGUAUAGGGCUGUAGUUCUGGUGAGAAAUCUAAAAAAAGGUUUCUUGUCAUCUCGCAAAAUUAGGUGUCAUGUGCUUCGGAUCACUGCGAGUGUUAAACAGCGACAACUGGGUUGCUAGUCAUUGGGGGCACAUGCACGAAGACUACUCGGCUGCCAUCUAGGUCAAGCCGGCUAUGUUAAUUAAGAUAUCUAUCGACGGACCCCUUUUCUACGAGUUUAUCUUUAAUUUGAGCUUUGAUCCUCGUCUAGUUUGUCCGUCGAGAUUCAUGUUGUCUCCUUUGGGCAGUGAGGUUAUGAUUUCUUGUCAUGUGGCAUUUUUUCGUGUUAUAUGUUAUAAUCCAGUGGUUCAGAUCAAAAUGACGACAACUGCGCCUCCGGGCCAUGUGCAUGAAUACUUCUCGACAGUCAUUGACGAGGUCAAGCCGGCUCCAGUAGACAAAAGAAAACUAGUACUCCACUAUAUAGGCAGGAUCCUCCGCGCUUGCUUGCUAGUGUUGCUCUCCUCACACUGUCUCGUCCUCUCCAAAUCUAAACACGAUAGCGGUGGCCACACACACUCUCUCUCUCUCUCUGCUCACCGCUGGUCACGGAUCCAGCCGGAUCCUCUCCGUCGGGGAAGGUGAGAAGGUGCAGUGUUCACGCGGUCGUCCUCGGCAACGGCUCUUACCCACUGCCGGUGCGUCCCAAUCAUCGUGCCUUGCUGUUCUCUCCCAAGCACCGCUAGCGAGGGUGGGCCUCUGACCCCUUCUUCCUUGUUGCCGUAGUGUGGGCAGAUCCGGUCUCCCGCGGCCCACCUAGCAACAUCCCGGUGACCCUCAGGUACAACUUCCUUCGAAACUGGCCUUGCUCUACUUCCCGAGCUCCUGACAUUGCUGCAUUUGUACCUUUUACUAUUUCUCAGGCCCCCUCGUAGAUAGGAUUGAUCGGCUGUUUGAGAACCACCUAAACUUUUAUGGUUAAGAGGUAAAACUAGUUCAUGCACUCGAAUCUAGUACUACUUGGUUCAAACAAGGAAGAAAGGGGGUGGGGGUGGGGGAAGAUUUGUUACCAGAAUCUAGAACUUGGUCGAAAGAGCAAAUAAUGGGGGCAAAAAGUAGCAGAGACUGGCUAUCCAACUGGUCUCUAGGUCUAAUAGGGAAAUAAAGGGAAACGUAAUACAAACUCAAUUCUGGUUGAAAAAGGAAAGAAAGUGGGGACUGGGGGACAAGUCAACAGAGUAAGUACAGCACUAGAUUUGCUAGCCUCACACAGUAUAAGGUGGCUAUACCGAACAAAAAUGGGACCAACCCAGAUAUCCUGUUCUAAUGUUUGUUGCCCCGAGCCACUCUUAUGUAAUGCCACUGGUAAAAUGUAGCAGUCGCACUGUUAAAAGUAAGGACACGUUAAACCAAUGUUGUUUUCAAUGUAAUGCCUCCAGUAAUAUGAAUCAAUGGCACUUUUUACAUGUCCUGCUAAAUUUCCCAUUAAGAUAAGUUGCUUAUUUUCGUUAGAAAUGCAACUGUCUUGGUCCGCCUACUCUCCCGUGCCCAAAUACCGACUCUGUAGCAGCUGUUAAUGUAAUGUUGCUGGUAAAAUGAAGCAAUGGCACCAUUAAAGUAAUGUCGUAUUUAACGGUUGUCAUAGUUAAUCCUAAUGCCCACACUAAUAUCUAGCAAUGUUGCUGCUUUAGAAAUUGCUACUAUCCUUCUAGGAUUGCCAUUCAGAUAAGGAACAUGCUUCUUUUCAUUUGAUACAUGUUUCAUCACUUGUUAGUCACCCUCCUUUCCACCUUUUUGUGCAAAUAGAGAUAUACAUUUCACGCUCGAUCUUAGUUGAACUGCCCAAAUGAUAUCCAAAUUAUAUUUGAACAUUCCAGGAGCUUCACAACCAACCUUGAUGUUGCUCAAUUUUAUUGCAACUAAUGAAGAAGAAGCUCUGUGGGUUUCAUUUUCUGAUGGAAAUGGAACCGGGGCUGGAGCCCUUUUCUUAAAAAAAUGAAGAAAAAGCUGCUAGCUCACGGGACAUUGCUUCAUUUUAGGUGAAUUGCACCAAAAGGUCCCAUGAAUUGAAUCAUCCAUGUUGGUGUUUGAAAGAGUCAGCUUCAUCAUCCCAGUCUAAGCACCCCCGGCCUCCAUCCUUGCGAUGCACGGUACACCUCGUUUGCCACCUACUCGACCCUAGUGUCACUGAUAAAAUGAAGUAAUAGUACAGUUAAAUAGAGCGAGUGUCCUCUAUAUCUUUUCAUUUCCAAUGUAGAUAAAGAAAGUGCUUCUCUUUGUUAAUGUAUGUUUCAUCAACUAGGCCCAUUGUUAAUGUUUAAGCGUUUCUGCAAACUGGGGUGCUUAAUUUUAGUUGAUCUGCACAAAAAUAGAGAUUUGAAUGUCUCAAGGCGCCUCCUUGUACUACCACUCUACACUGAUGUUCAUCACUGGCAGAAGGUGUAUCUGGGAGACAUGGGAUGAUUUCCAGUAUGAGGCGUAUCGUAUGAGGCGUCGCAGGGCCCAUCUCUCCCUCGCGGCAUGGCAUAGUAUGAUACUAUCACAAUAUUUUCUUCUAUUUAUUUUGUGUGUUUCAUCAACUAGUGCCACUAUAAUGUAAUCACGCUUUUUCAUUAUCUGUGCAAACAGGGUUAUUCAGCUGCAUUUUGGUGGUGCUGCAUAAACGUGCGUAUGGAACCGGCAUAUAUGCAGAGUGCAAGGUGUGCCAAGUAAAAAUUACAGACACCAACCAUGCUCCAUGCACGCAUUGGCAUCCACCAGCACCAAUGGGAUGUGUGGUGCUCUCUGUGGACGGAUCUUUCUCGGCAGCGAAUCCUCUAACCAAAUACUAGUAGCUUAUAUUGGCAGUUUUCUAGGGAGUACUCUUUUUUGAAAGAAGCACCGAUCUAUUUUUCUUUAUUUGUACAUUGUGUCACAACUUUGACCCAAAGGUCCAGAGCUAUUUUAGGGUGAUUGGCGUAGUACUCGGAGUCUGAUUGUAAGCAUGAUUUUCAUUAGCUGUCACACUGAUUGUAAGCAUGAGCAGGUGGAAGAUUAGGUUAGUGCGAAGCUUACCUUAAACCCUACCGCUGCCGUUGAAAUGAGGCGAGCGUCGAGGGAACCGUGGAGAACGGAGGGGAAGCAACAUUGUGCCAUCCGGCCUCCUCUUGCGGUGGAAGAACGAAUACUCCUAUGGCUCUAGCUGGCUCUGCACCCUCACGAAUGGCACACCAUACUCGAUCAAUUCGUUAUCCUCUAGGUGCUUGACCUUCGACCUGUACGCCCACCACCUCUGCCUGACUGUCGCCUCGGGCGAAUCUGUCUUCUCCAUCUCCCAGAGGAGAUACUCAAUGAACUCGGAGGACUAUGGUGUGACUGCCACCGAGGAGUACAUGUACAUCGUCGCCCUCAUCGCCGCCGUCUCGCUCUUUUGCAUACAUUGCCACAUGGCCCUCAUCGUCCUCGAAAUAUCCCACUCAUUGUCAAACCAAGUAAGGAUCUCCUUCAACCUGGCUAACUUUGCCUGGUCGCCGCCGGCGAUCUGCCUGAUUCGCUGCUGCAUCCUCUCCAUAGAUGUCCUUCUGAAUGGUCCGGUGCUAGCUUUGGAAGAUGGGAGGAGAGACGGUGGUCUUGCAGUAGAGAAGAGGGAGAGGCGAGAUGGUGGUUUUGGAAUGGAGAUGAUGGAGAGGAGAGGUGGUGGUUUUGCAAUGGAGAAGAGGGAGAGGCGAGAUGGUGGUUUUGGAAUGGAGAUGAUGGAGAGGAGAGGAGGUGGUUUUGCAAUGGAGAAGAGGGAGAGGAGCAUGCGGCAGCGAUUUAGGAUUGGACGAGAGGGCCGGCGCGCUGUGACUGGAUCAAACUCAAAAUCAAUUUACCCUUCAAUUAAGAAAGAGACCCCACAUUAAUUAGUCUCCCUUUUAUUUUGGGUCAUAAUUGACCUUGAUUUUUGCAAAUAAAAUAUAUGUUAUACGUUGCAAAAAUAAUAUAAUUUGAAAGUACAUUCAGAUACGAACCAAACGAUACAAUUUUUGGUGACAUGCAUUCACAUUUUGCUUGUCAAAUACAGUACGUGGUCAAACUUUGACCAAAAAUUCGCAAAACAAAAAAAUACUUCCAAGACCAGCGCUGCUCUUCCGCUCUUCUCCUCUUAAACUACCACCGCUCCUAUCAUGUUCCAAUCUAAAUCCAGCGCCGCUCCUCUCCUCUUCCAUUUCAAAACAAAUGCCCCUCCUCUCUUGUUCCAAUCCAAAACCAGCGUCGCUCCUCUCCCAUUCUAAUCCAAAACCAGCACUGCUCCUCUCCUCUUCCAUUCAAAAACCACCGCUGGCGAGUGAAGGUGUUGUGGAGAAGUAGAUCGAUGGAGGAGUACAACCAAUAUGUGAGGACCGCAGACGGCGACCCUGUGAAGCUAGCUAGGAUGUUCGAGAUACAGUCUUGGUUUGAUAACAAGGACCAACUAGCGGCGAUGGAGACAUCCAUGGACAAAUAUCUACAACAGAGCGAAAAGGCGGCGAUACUCCCGGAGGGAGUCGCGCGGGAGUACAUAGAGCUGCUGCUCUGGAGCCAUGGAGCAAACAGAUUCACCGAAUCCGAUCGUGAGGGAGCGGUGGUGGGAGUAUCGAUCCCAGAUGGAGCAUCCACCAGAGAUUGAAGGAUCGAGCAUAUAUAGGGUGCCGUUUGGGAGGGUGUCGUGCCAGAGCGAGCUGGUGGAGUCUUUGUCGACCGAACCCAACUGCAAGAGGAGAAAAUCAGUUGGCCCGACGAUGCUUCCCCACCAUCCUCUCCCUCGCCGUUCACAUUGUCUCACGGGGCGGUUGUCUGCCACCGAGGAAUAGGAGGGGACUGCCCCCCUAUCCCAAUAGUCGGGCAGGUUGUGAAUUGUCAGGAGGAGCUUAGGGUUGUCAGUAUUUGCAGGUUGUGAAUUGUGUUUUGUGUUGUGUAUUUUAAGAGUACUUUCAUAUAUGAAUGUCUUUUGAAUUUGAGAUUUGCAGUAUUGAGCAUAUGAAGUAUUUUAUGAAUUCCAGAGAUCUAUUUUUAGCACUUAAAAAAUGUAGUUUCAUAGGAGUAUAAAAGUGCAGACAAUGUGAUUCUCAGAGAAGAAACUGCAAGUUUCAGUUUCAGAUAAGAAACUGCAAGUUCAGUUUCAGAUAAGAAACUGCAACUUUCAGAGGCAAAGCAUUUAUAUUAACACGGCCUUUUCAAACAGGGUUAACAUCAUGUUGGAAGUUUUAUUCAUGGUCAAAAAUGGAACUACCAGGCAGUUAACAUCAUGUUGAUCAACAUUCAUGCAUAGCACAUCUUCAUAUGAUGCACAGUCAAAAAGAUAUGUUGUUUUCAAAAUGCCCACACAAUGUCGAGUGUGCUAAACACAGAGAAAACGAGGGACGAAGUUUUGGCAAGUGUUGGACGUGGUGUGUGUAGAUGACAAUGGGGACCCACAUGUCACUAAAGGUAGAGGCAAAAAAUUUGGAGAUAUUUUCCCUGCAUAGGUGGAAUCAAACCCGGGCGGAAUAGCUGUCGGGUAGUGUCACUUGGCCACUAGGCUAGUUCAGUAGUUUCGUUAAUAAUAAGGCACUUCCUCGGGUGGUCGGAUCCCCUCCUGCGCCUUUGUGCGCUCGCCGCGACGCCACUGUCUGCCAUUGUGAACAUGCUGAACAAACGAGAGGAAUCUGGAGAGGAUUGUACGUGGAGAGGCGGAUAGUUGGGACCCACCAGGUCUAUGGCCGUACGCAAGCAAGUGCCUCAUCGAAAAAAUACUUCCUCCUAAUGCUAUACUGACGUUGGGGCCCACGGGUUUGUCAACAUAGUUACAUUUUUUUAGGUGCUUCAACGUAGUUACUAUAGGAGAUAAAUUCACAACGAAGUUGGGGAGCUGGCAGGUAUCAUUUAUUAUCACUGGGGCAGCAAGUAUCAGCUGGGUUUUGGGAUGCCCCGUCUAGGCUUUCUUUUUUAACAUGCGCAGCCCACGACCUCAGAUGGGAGGUCCAUAGGCCUGUUUGUAUUUUCUUGAGGGCCAUCAUGUAUCGACCGGCCUAUGGACCUCCCAUCCAAGGUUUUAUUUUUCCUAAAACAUCGGCAGCCCAAUUUAUGUAUUUUUUUGAAGAAAACACAGAGGUCUGUUCUAUUUUUCUACAUAAGAAUAGGAACGUCUGGUCCAACUUAUGUUUCCCUUCUAGCUAUAUUAUAUAUAUUUAAAUUAUUUUAUAUGUUAUUAUAUAUUAUUUUUAUUGUCAUCAUAUAUUUAACAGAUACUUACAUAUGUAAGAAAACAAUAUCCCACCCCACAUCUUAUUACUUAUAAAAAUAAUUUCUUAACAAUAAAAAUCCUGGAUUGUUUUGUCAUGAAAGUCCUAGUGAUUGUGUACAAAAGCUUGGUAAGAUUUAAGGAUGAAUGUAAUAAUAAAUCAAAUAUAUAUAUAACAAAAUGCUCAGUCCCUGUUUAUUUUUUGAUAACAUUAUAAUUAGAAUCAGCCCAGCAAAAUCGUGUAUUUCGAGAAAGUGCAAAUGGCCUGUAAUAUUUUAGGAAAAAAAUAAAUGGGCCGCAUGGACGCUACAUUAUUUGUUCACCCAGCCCAGCUAAUGGACUGUAAUUCAAAAAAGAUCAAAUUGACUAUAAAUUCUACCCCGCAAAAAAAGACUGUAAAUUCUGAAAAAUGGGUUGAAUACGUGCCACAUUUUUGGAGGCUGAAAUGUGGGCCAAUAGGUUGAAGCCAAUGCAAGUCGUUGUCAACUUAGUCAACAAAUGAUUCUGACAUCGUUAGCCAUUGGAUUUAGAUCCAACGGCUGGCAUCCAUCUUCAAUCUCUCGUCUUCUUCCUCCGGCGCCGCCGGGACCACCUCCCGCCUCCUGCUGCUAGCAGCUCUACUUAGCACGCUUCGCUGUGAAGCACUACUCCACCGUUGGCCAGGCCAUCCCUCCACCCCUCCACACCUCCUGUUCUUCUCCACUGACUGCCGAACCACACCGCACCAGAACCAGUUAACCCUCGUACACCUCUUCGUCUGUGACUCUACUCCCGCGUCUUCCCAUCUCCGGCUCGUUGCUGUCCGAGGCCUCACCGUCUUCCACCACCUUGGAUGUGCUUGGCGCGGCGUGGUCAACAUGGUCAACGAAUGACACCAUCGGAAGUAGACUGUGUGUGGAGAGGCUGACAGCUGGGUCCACGGCCGCACACAAGGAAAUGCCUCCUUAUUACGUGCAAAAUAAUGAUUCCUCCAUCUGACAUCUGGGACCCACCAGAAGGGCCUCUAUAUUUCGCGAAAAAAACGUGCCCCCCGCUGACAGGUCGGACCCACUAGCUAUCUUCACACGCAAGGAAGUGCCUCCUUAUUACGCACAAAAAAAUUAAUACUCCCCCUACCAGCUGGAACCCAGCAUAGUGGGAGGCUGACUUGUGGGCCUACCAAGUUGACGGGGACAGAGGGCUUUGUCAACUUAGUCAAUAUGAACGAUUCUAGCUCUAGUUACAGUACGAUGUUCAUCCAACGGCCGUAGUGCUUCUUCAACCUCUGGUCUUCUUGCUCCAGCCUCCCAAACAAGCGCCGGUCGUCCCGCGUGCUCCUACCUCCCAUGGCCGGUUGUGAUGCCGUGGAGGCCUCACUGCCCCCUACUACUCCCAUCGCUGGCCAGGCUAUCCCUCUACUCACCCACACCCCCUGUUAUUCUGCGGCGAUGGCAGCCUCACAUCGCAGCCGAACUAGUGAACCCUCGUACUCCUCUUCGUGUGGGCUUCCACUGCCGCGUCUUCCCGGGCUCCACGUCGUCCCCUUCCUAGGCCUCGCCGUUGUCCACCGCCCUGGUGCUCUCGGCGCGACGUGGUCAACGUGGUUAAGGAACAACUUCCAUCGGAAGAGUACUAUACAUGGAGAGGCUGACAGCUGGGUCCACAGCGGUCGCAAGGAAGUGCCUCCUUAUUAAGCGCAAAAUAAUUAUUCCUCCACCUGAUAGCAGGGACCCACCGGACAGGCCACUGUAUUUCGUGAAAAAAAAUGUUUUGCCCCUGACUGCUGGGACCCACCAGCUCAUCUUUGCAUGCAAGGAAGUGCGUCCGGGCAAAAAAAAUGAUUCGCCCCCUGACUACUGGGACCCACCAUCUACAUCUUUGCAUGCAAGGAAGUGUGUGACAGUCGGGACCCACUGGUCGAAGCGUACGUAACAUUGUCAUUCUGGUCGCGAACGUGUAUGUACGUACUGCUCGAUGUAGAGGCACGCACGUGUCGUAGUAGAGGAUCACAUGUAGCAUGUACACGUAUGUACAUCGGCCAGUGUGCAAGAAAGAAAAUACGGCCACAUACGUACAUACGGGCGGGGUCUUGAACACCUACUCGUGCAUACGUACGGCCAGGGCUCGUGUAUAUGGCUGCGUCGGACUGGAGAAACAACGUCGUCGUCGUGUUCAUGGGGAGCCAACCGGCUGGGUCAGACGGAAUGCGUCGUCGUGUUCAUCGGGGGGGCUUGGACGGAAUAGCCGAUGGAAACGAGGCCUAGCAUGCCGCGGAAUGGAGGAAACGGGCUUGUGUUCGACCGGACACGUUCGAAACGGGAUCCUGUUCAUCAGGAGGGGUCUGCCGUACCGCAAAACGGAGGAAAUAGACUUGUAUUGGACCUCCUACGGUCGAAACGGGGUCCUGUUAAUCGGGAGAGGUGUGGCGUACCGCAAAACGGAGGAAACACACUUGUGUUGGAGCACUAUGGUCGAAAUGGGGGUCUUGUUCAUCGGGAGGGGUGUGGCGUACCGCAAAACAGGACUCCAUGGAUACUAUUCAUCUCCACCGUCGACCUCCUCCAGCCUCCACGGGCUACUGUUCAUCCACUGUCAACCUCCUCUAGCCUCCACCUGCGACUGUUCAUCCAUGGGAUCCUGUUCAUCCAGCCUCCACCACGCGCUACUCCACCGGCUACUGAUCAACCAGCCCUCUCCACGGGCUCCUAUUCAACCACCCCUCCACGGGCUACUGUUCAUCCACCCCUCCACCAUCUACUGUUCAUCCAGCCCUCCACGGGGUCCUCCUGUUCAUCCAGCCCUCCAUGGGGUCCUGUUCAUCCAGCCCCAACCGGCUCGAUCGAUCGGGGUCCUGCUCAUCCAGAGGCAACACCACGGGGUCCUGUUCAUCCAACCCCACCAGGAACUGUUCAUCCAAACCCCGCAGCAACGCUCACUGUUCAUCAAGGGAAGGAGGCGGCUGCAUGAUGAUACCAGGUUUUGUCACAAUUAUCGUCAUAGAAGUGUCAUAAGUAUGACAGAAAAAAAAUUGUUCGGCCCAAAAUGUCACGGAUGUGUCUUUUUUUUGUAGUGUUACUUGUCUAAUUUGUUUGACUUCACACUAUGAAGACUAUUAUCUGUUUAGCUUCGUACUAUCUACCUUUCUAAUCCUGUCUACCUAGUUGCUAUUAGUCUUCAUGCUUUCAUUAUAUUGUAUGUUAGACUUAUGCUUACCUAGUGUAGUUUUCAUUCCGCUGCUUACUAAUUAGGCUCAGUCACUUGUUUUUCUUCAAAGCCACCGUGUUUUGUAGACUUGCGUAAAAAUCGCCUAUUCACCCCCCCCCCUCUAGUCGAUAACUAGCACUUUCAAUUGGUAUCAAAGCAAGGUACUCCCUUGUUCUAUGUGAUUCGCUUUAACCACCUGGAGUUUUAGCUAUGUCGACUGCAGGGAUACUCAAGGUCUCCGUUGCAUGCCCUGUCUCCGAUGGCACUGACUACCCCUACUGGAAGAACAAGAUGCACAUGCAUCUUGAAGCCAUUGAUGUUGAUCUCUGGUAUGUCGUCAAGACUGGCGUUCCCAAAGUCGGUGAAGGCGUCACUGCUGCUGAUGUCAAGAGAUUUGCUCAAUUGGACUCAACCGCCAAGAACAUCAUCUGUGGUCAUUUGACCAAAGGGCAAUAUGGUCGUGUGAGUGCACUGGAAACUGCAAAGCUGGUCUGGGACUGGCUGUCCAAGGUCAAUGAAGGCCUCUCAGCUCAGAGAGACUCAAGAAUUGAUGUUCUUCGCAAUCUGUUCAACCACUUCAAGAGAAACGACAAUGAAAAUGUCUAGCUCACGUUCGAUCGCUUGACUAACAUCACCAACGGGUUGCGUGCUCUCGGCACCACUGAGAUCACCAAGCAUGAGAUUGUGAAGAAGAUUCUGAGAUCACUUGAUAGCUCGUUGGACACCUUAGCCCUGAUGAUUCAAGAACGUCCUGACUUCAAAGAUCUCGAUCCAUCUGACAUACUCGAGAGACUCAAUACACAUGAGUUCCAGCUAUCUGAGAAGCGUGAUAUCUAUGGUCCCAACUAUGGCCGAACCCGUGCUUUGAAGGCAAAGGUUGUUUCCUCAUCUGAAGAAGAAUUUGACUGUAGCUCUGGUGAUCCUAAAGAGCUUGGCAAAGAGCUUGCAAUGCUGGUGAGAAAGUUCCAAAAGUUCUCCAAGAAGAAUCAAUUCAGCAAGUCUUCAAGAUCUAGCUCCAAGAACGACAAGGCUUCAUCACGUGACUACAAGAGGAGAACUUGCCACAAAUGCAAGAAGACUGGCCACUACAUCUUUGAGUGUCCUCAGUGGGAUAAGGAAUCAAAGAAGAAGAAGAAGAGCAAGGAAUAUGAUUCUGAUGAUAAUAAGAAGAAGAAAUCUUCAAAAUCUUCCUCAAAGUCUUCAUCUCACAAGAAGACCUCAUCAAGCAAGGCUCAUGCAUUUAUUGGCAAGGAAAUGGAUUCAGAGGAGUCUACUUCUGAGGAGGCAGAGGUGGAGUCUCAGGAGGAGUCUGGUUUAGGCGUGGCAACCCUGGCUCUGGCAUCAGCGUUCGUCGCCAAGUCCAUCUUCAACACUGAAGACAAUGGUUGCAGCGUUGAAGCCAAAGUUGAUGAUGAUGACGACGACUCUGCUCCUACCUACUGCUUCAUGGCAUGUGGUGCCAAGGUAACUUCACACGAUGCCUAAUUUCAAACCUCUAGUGAAGAUGACUCUGAAUGUGAAUCCAAACCUAGCUAUAAGACACUUGCUAAAAUUGUAACUGAGUAACAAACUGCUAUGGAACAUAUUCAAAAGCUGCUAGACAAAAGUGAUGACAUGUUGGACGCAGAAAUGAAUCAAACUCAAUCCUUAAUCGAAGAUAUUAAAAGUCUUUGCAUUAAGUACGUAGAUCUUGAAAGUCGUCAUGAAACUCUCUCAGCCUCUCAUGAGAAGCUUUCCUACAAUUAUCUUCAAAGGAAGCAUGAUCUAGAGAAACUGAGAGCAUCUCAUGAAGAUCUUCAAAAGGAGAACGAUUCACUACUCGCCCAACAGAUCAGUACCGCUCCGGUAGAACUUGUUCCACCAUGCUUGAAGUGUCUUGAGCGUGAUAAUGUUGUCUCUGUUGCUGAAUGUUCUACUGCCUCUGAUGUUGCAAUAUCUUCAACUACUGAUGUGGGAACUAACCCCUCUACUGAGGAUGCCACUACUAUUGCUGAUGAGAAUGCUAGGUUGAAGACGUUGCUUGAGACUGGCAUGUACAAAAUCCUCAAAGGGCAUCAAACUCUGUGCGAUGUCCUCAAGAAACAGAUUCUGAACCGAAACCAUAGGAAAAAGGGUGUUGGGUUCGAGAGGAAGAUGAACGUCGAUGGUUCAUAUUGGACGCCUGAGCAGUACCCCAAAACCACCUGGGUAGCUGCUAAGGAUCCUUCAGUGGACCCAUCCACUCUAUCCAGCUUCACUUGUGCUAAUCCAAUUGUCAUUGAUGAAUCCUUUGAUGCAAAUUGUAAAUUGUUUAAGAAUCAGAAUGGUGAAGUGUUUGCCAGGUACAUUGGUACUAACUGUAGGAAUGGGUCACCCCAGAAGAAGAUCUGGAUGCCCAAAAGCUAUCUUGAGAAGCUUCUUAUGAAUGUCAUCAUGACACCACCUGGGAAGAAGACAAACCCUCGACCAAAGGAGUCAUAUGGUCCAAAGGCUUCAUACAGACAGAGGACCACUAAUGGUCACCCUAACAUCGAUGUUUUGCACGAGAAUUGCUAUGAGACUCAUGAAUAUGAGUGUGUUUCAUCCAACCGCUAUGUUCACAAAACUAAGAACUUUUUUGCAUAUUCUUAUAGGUAUUAUUCUCCUCCUGCGAAGCUAUUUACUAGUGCUCCCAAGCCAAAGUUCUCAGAUGUUGCACUUAGACUCAUUGCUUCUAUGCCACCACUAAAGAUGUGGGUGGUUAAGAAGAAUUAACUUGUUUUGCAGGGAAAGGUCUCUAGCAGGAAAGCAAAAUCUUCUGACAAUAAUGCUGGAGACCUAAAACAUCUUGUGGGACGCAAGAUAAAAUGCUCAAAUGGUCUUAUCAUGUAUUUCAUCCCAGGGUUCCUUGACGAGCAUCCUAUCAUGCCUAACCAGGAUUUAAACUUUGAUAAUAUGCUUGUUCGCUACAUGUUUCUGCUUAACAAUACUCUUGGUGAAGUCUAUCCUGCUAAAUGCACUGUAGGGUACAACUCCGAAAGCCACUGAAUGGAUCAUGGAUAGCGGCUGCACCAACCACAUGACUGGUGAUUGAAGUCUUCUAAUGGAUUCAACCCUACGUCCUUCUACUAAGAGCCACAUCACAUUCGCUAACACUGGUAAAAGUAAGGUAUUGGGUCUUGGUAGAGCUUCUAUCUCAAAGGAUCAGCACAUGGAUAAAGUGAUGCUUGUUGAAUCCCUUGGUUACAACUUAAUGUCUGUGUCAAUGCUCUGUGAUCUGAACAUGAUCGUGAUAUUUGGAAAAUAUCAUUGUCUUGUACUAAUGGAAUCUGACAAAUCUCUUGUCUUCGAAGGCUAUUGAAGAGGCGAUCUGUAUAUGGUUGAUUUCUUAGAAGGACCACAACUUGUCGUAUGUCUUCUAGAAAAGGCUUCAGAAUGCUGGCUAUGGCAUCGACGGCUAGGACAUGAGGGCAUGAGGAACCUGUACACUCUCGCGAAGAAGAAGCACAUCAUUGGCAUCGAGGGUGUCAAGUUCAAGAAGGAUCAUCUAUGUGGUGCCUGUGAAGCUGGAAAGAUGACAAGAGCCAAGCAUCCCUCAAAGACAAUCAUGACUACCUCACGCCCCUUUGAGCUGCUUCACAUGGAUCUAUUUGCCCCUACUCACUACUCUACUAUCACUAGUGCUACACAUCUCUAUGGCUUCGUUAUUGUUGAUGAUUACUCAACAUACACCUGGGUGCACAUAAUUCUCUAUAAGACUGAAGUGCAGGAUGUCUUCAGACGCUUCGCAAACCGGGCCAUGAUGAAUUAUGGUAUCAAGAUCAAGCACAUCCAGAGUGACAAUGGCACUGAGUUCAAGAAUGCUGGCAUUGACAUUUAUCUUAAUACUUUGGGCACCACACGCGAGUUCUCUGCUCCUUACACACCUCAGUAGAAUGGCAUCAUGGAGUGCAAGAACAGAACACUCAUUUAGAUGGCACGAACGAUGCUCGAUGAGUACAAGACUCCAAGAAAAUUCUGGCCUGAAGCUAUUGAUACUGCAUGCCACAUCAUCAACAGAGUAUAUCUUCACAAGUUCUUCAAGAAGCCAAAUGUCAAUUACUUCAAGGUCUUUGGUGCUAGGUGCUGGAUCAAAGAUCCACAUCACACAUCUAAAUUUGCACCGAAAGCACAUGAAGGUUUUAUGCUUGGUUACGGAAAGGACUCGCACACCUACAGAGUCUUCAACCUCUUUCACUGUAAAGUGGUUGAAACUGUGGAUGUGUGGUUCGAUGAGACUAACGGCUCGCAAAGAGAGCACCUGCCAAAUGUGCUUGAUGAAGCUACACCAGGUGAAGCUAUCAAGUUAAUGGGUACUGGAGAAAUCAUACCCACGGAGGAACUGGUUGAGGAUGAGAUCAUCAUUUCUGCACCUAAUCAACCUGAAGACAAUUAUCAGUCCAAAGCCAAUGCUGAUGACGAAGACAAUAGUCAGUCAGAUCAAAAUCUUCGUCCAGCUCAUCCUCGGGUUGCAAAUGAAGCCCAAAUUGAGAAGAUCAUUGAUGGAAUCAACACUCCUAGCCCUCUCGCUCGAUCAAGAGCUACACAACUAGCAAACUUCUAUGGUCACUUUGCUUUUGUCUCUAUAUCUGAACCCAAGAAAGUCCAAGAAGCCUUCAUGGAACCUGAAUGGAUUCAAGCUAUGCAAGAUGAGAUUCAACAAUUUGAGCUGAAUAAUGUCUGGGAGCUUGUCAAACGUCCUGAUCCUCGCAAGCACAAUGUCAUUGGCACGAAAUGGAUCUAUCUCAACAAACAAGAUGAACUUGGACAAGUUGUCAGAAACAAAGCUCGCCUCGUUACUCAAGGUUACACACAAGUGGAAGGAAUAGACUUCGAUGAAACCUUUGCUCAUGUGUCUCGGCUUGAAGCCAUUCGCAUACCGCUGGCUUAUGCAAACCAUCACAACAUUCUUCUAUACCAAAUGGAUGUGAAGAGUGCAUUUCUCAACGGCAAAAUUGAAGAAGAAGUGUAUGUCGCUCAACCGCCUGGUUUUGAAGAUCCCAAGCAUCCUGAUAUGGUGUACAAGCUCAACAAGGCAUUAUAUGGCCUCAAACAAGCACCUCGCGCUUGGUAUGACACAUUGAAGGAAUUCCUGAAGAGCAAAGGCUUCAAACCUGGUUCACUAGAUCCCACUCUCUUGACAAAGACAUAUGAUGGUGAACUAUUUGUGUGCCAAAUAUAUGUGGAUGACAUUAUCUUCGGAUGCACUGAUAAGAGAUACAGUGACGAGUUUGGAUACAUGAUGCAAGAGCAAUAUCAGAUGUCCAUGAUGGGGGAGCUGAAAUUCUUCCUUGGUCUUCAAAUCCAUCAACAGCGCAAAGGCAUCUUCAUAUCGCAAGAAAAAUACCUCAAGGAUUGCCUAAAAAAGUUUGGAAUGCAAGACUGCAAAGGGUACACGACGCCAAUGCCAACCAAAAGUCAUCUCGGCCCUAACGACAAUGGUAAAGAGUUUGAUCAAAAGGUAUACCACUCCAUGAUUGGUUCUUUGCUCUAUUUAUGUGCAUCUAGGCCUGAUAUUAUGCUUAGCAUUUGCAUGUGUGCCCGAUUCCAACCGGCACCAAAGGAGUCGCAUCACCUAGCGGUGAAGCGAAUACUUAGAUAUUUGGCUCACACCCCAACACUAGGAUUAUGGUAUCCGAAGGGCUCAACAUUUGAUCUAGUUGGAUAUUCUGAUGCUGAUUAUGCUGGUGACAAGGUUGAUCGCAAGUCCACUUCAGGAACAUUUUCUUGGACGAUCUCUUAUCUGUUGGUCUUCAAAGAAGCAGAACUGUGCAUCACUCUCCACUGCUGAAUCUGAAUACAUUGCUGCUGGAUCGUGAUGUGCUCAGCUUCUCUAAGAAAACUCUCAAGGACUAUGGCAUCAACACGAAGACUGUGCCACUUCUGCAACAAUGAAAGCGCCAUCAAGCUUCCCAAGAAUCUAGUUCAGCACUUGAAGACAAAGCACAUCGAGAUUCGUUAUCACUUUCUUAGAGAUCAUGUCAACAAGGAAGACAUUGAUAUCAUUCACGUCAACACUGAAGAGAAACUGGCUGAUAUCUUCACUAAGCCCUUGGAUGAGAAGAGGUUUUGCAAGCUGCGAUGUGAGCUAAAUAUCUUGGAAUCCUCAAAUGUCCAGUGAAUGGACACACAUCCUAACGCUUAUGCAUGUUGAUGACUUAGAUGUGCAACACACGAAGUAACCUAUGUCUUCAAUAAAUGAAGACUUACCCUCUGAGUGUGAAUACAUUAACAUGGAAUUUGACUUCAGAGUGCCACGAUAAUUGUGCGCCGUGUCUGGGUCUAAUAUUUCCUAUACGGUGGGUAACGCCACCACCAAAACUUUUCAAAGAUUUUCAUUUGGCGUCAUAACUACAAUAUCUUUGCAUUUGGAUUAUCUUCACAAUGUUGAUUUGUCUUCAGUAAUGAUUAUAUCUGCAUAUGUGUUCUGUCCUCUAGAGCAUUCACUUAUAGCUAUGUCUUCAUGUUGCUACUUUCUGACCUAAGUGAAUGUGAUCGGACCCUAAUCCCUUCUGUGCUACUCCCUCAAAUUCUUUUUGUCCAAGACAUGUGCAUUCUGUUGACACUUGUCGAAUAUCUUCUCUGCGUCCUUGUCAGUAGAAGAUACAGAGACACACAUUUACAAACUGAUUUUAAUGUUAUAUCAUUUUGCCUAAAAACUGGAGAAGCUGGAACGACCAGCCGACAAUCCAGGCGUGCAUGGGAACAUAGAUCAACUCCUGACAAGUUGCAUGCACGCCACAUGUUCCUCAGAUGUGAACCGCCAGGGGCACCUGCGUAAUAGCGCUUGUAACGCCCCGAGACCGACGCUCCAGAAGACUUCCAGUUAUUUCGAGUUUCGCCGUGUGUUUCUUUUGUGCUUGCUCUUUUAUUUUGUGUUUCUUUUGUGCUUGCUCUUUUAUUAUUGCAUUGCAUCAUGUCAUCAUGCCAUCAUGUCAUUAAUUUUAUAACUCCUUUAAAUAAAUUGUAUGGAUUGUUUGAUCCAUUUAAAUUGAGGGAUAUUCACAAUGGUGACUUCUCUUUAUAACAUACCCUCCCGAUAUUUAGGGAGAUAUUAUAAAAUAUUCCAUUAUUUUGGAAUCACCCAUAAACACACUUGCAAAAUAAUUUCGUUCCUUUUCUGCUUCAAGUUUGGUCUCCAACCUUGCCCAUAAUUUCUUUCAUCAUUUUCCGGAGCUCCACCAAAAAUCUGAACAUUUUUGGACCUUCCUUUUAUCAAGUCCUAGUUCAAACCCAUUUGAAUUAAAUUCAAAUGAGUUUGAAUUUACAUCUUUCAACCGUGGCCUUUCUAUUUUUCUUGGAACGAGCAUAUUUUUGUGAGUCCGGGAAAAUUAUCCCCUUGCGCAUUUUCUUUCCCUAACCCCCCUCUUCAUUUUCCUUCUCUCUAAUGUUUUCUGUUAGAAAUUAAGAGAGAGAGAGAGAGAGAGAGGUAAGCCCAGCCAGGCCUUUGGCCAUUUCCUCUCCACCUGGGCCGACCCAACCGGCCUCUCAGGCUCAGCCGCCCCCACCAGGUCUAACCCUAGCCCAGUCCCCAUGCAUCUCAUCUCUCCCUUCGUUCUCCCCCUGCGCCGCAGCGCACCCGCAACGCUCGAUCCCCCCACCUCCUCGCUCGAUCUCCAUCUCCCUCGCAGCCUCUCUCUCCCGACCUCAUCGGGGUGGCCAACUCCGGCGACCCUCAGGCCAUGGCGCCGCCUUGCUGCUCCCUCCAGCGCCCAAGCCUCCUCCUCUGCUUCGCCCCCUCAUCUACUCCCUCAGCCAUGGCGCUUCGCCGUCCCUCGUCUCGCCCAUGCCGACGACCAGCAGUAGGUCGCCGCUCUGCGCCAUCCGGUAGCGCCUGCAGCUCGCGUCUCCACCCCUCCUCGUUGCCCCGUUGUGCUCCGGAGGUCAGGGACGCCAUGGACGAGCCUCGCGGCCAUGCCCCUGUCGUCCCCGUGCCCCUGCGCCACCAGGACCUCUGCCGUUCGCCUCCUGCAGCCCGAGCACCUCGACUCAACGCCACCUCGCCAUGGAUGCCGCCAUGGACGCCGAGCUCGUCCCCGCCACGCCAAGCCCCUCUCCAGCGAUCGCCGCUGCCUCCGUCGUUCCCCUGGCCAAGCUGCUGCCAUGUUCCUGCGCCGCCCUCUUGCCGUUCUUUGUCGUCGCCGGACCCGCGCCGUCCUCUGCUUCCUCUAUGGUGACCAGGAGCCACCUCGCCCGCGCAUCUCCUCCACCAUCAGCUUGCAAUGCCCAAGCGGAGCUGAGCUCCUCCCGGUCCCCAUGGUGCUGCGACCCCAUCACUAUUCCUGCUGGCCAUCGCCGAGUUUCCCCAGGACCCGUGGAGUCAUGCACGGGAAAACCAAGUCUGAAGAUUCCGUGGACGUGUGCCUAGUGUCACCUGGAUCGUCAAGUACUGUCUCCGUGGAUUAUUCAAGUACCACAACUACCGCCGCCGUUGAUUCGACAAGACAACAUGUACAACUACUUCCCCUACGUCGCCGAGAACGACUACUUCCACGACGUCCGUGAACCACUACCGUCGACCCUCGAAGACCCCGUGGACCCCGAACAUCCACGGGACAUGAACAACUACUUCCACUACGAGAUGUACCACUAUCGUCGCCACGUGAACAACUACUUCCCCCGACGACCCGUGAACGUCUACUUCCACUACCGUCGUGAGAACGUCUACUUCCUCUACAUUGCACCGAACCCAAACCGCCCGGAAACGCUCGCUUCAAAGGUAUAACCCCGAGACGAUCAACCGCGGACCGAAUGCUUGUGUGUUGUAAGAGAUGUACCAUAUGUUUGCACCGUGAUCGAAUCAUCCUUGCGAUGCCCCUCUUUUGCCAUGCCACCGUCCCGUGGGAACCCGAAAUCCGGGAUCACCCCACCAUCUUGCAUGACCCGCUCACGUCACACUUCCUUUUGCACCGGUAUCUCCAUGAGCUACCGGAACCGAUAUGUUGCCGUGGCAUCAUUUUCGGUUAUGUUGUCGUGGCAUCAUUUUCGGAUAUGUUGCCGUGGCACCAUUUCUGUUUCGCCGCCGUGGCACCCUUUUCAUUCCGCCAUGGUGACCAAAUGCCUCGUAUCAUGCUCAUGUUAACGUUUUCUUAAAAUUGCAUAAACUUGCACAUGUCAUCCGCAUCAUGAUAACAACAUUAAAAUGCUUAAAAUUCUUGUUUGCGUUAAAUUGCUAACUGUCAUAUGGGGAUUUUCCGGAAUUGUUGUUUGUGUUUCCGGCCUCAUUUAAACUUGCCUAAAUAGGUAGUUUAAUUAUGUUUCACCUCUUGCCAUGUUUGACAACAUUUAAUAUUGUUGGUUAGCAUAAACGAGAGCGAACUAAAUGAUUGAAUGUGGUGUUUCGUCAAUAUGCAACUCUUUGCAUAUUGAGCUCCACUUAAUUUGUAGUAUUGUUUGUUGCACCUUGCCAUGCCAUGCCUCUUUAAACCGGACAUGCAUCAUAUUUGGUUGUGCAUCAUGCCAUGAUUAUGUGAUGGUUGUUUACCAUGUUGUUUGCUUCUUUUCGGUUUGCUUCUCUCGUUAGCUUCGGUUUCGUUCCGGAGUUGUGAGGAUUCGUUCGACUACGUCCGUUUGUCUUCUUCAUGGACUUGUUCUUCUUCCUUGCGGGAUCUCAGGCAAGAUGACCAUUACCCUCGAUAUCACUUCUAUCUUUGCUUGCUAGUUGCUUCGUUCUAUCGCUAUGCUGCGCUACCUAUCACUUGUUUACCAUGCCUCCCAUAUUGCCAUGUCAGCCUAUAACUUUUUCACCCUUCCUAGCAAACCAUUGCUUGGCUAUGUUACCGCUUUGCUCAGCCCCUCUUAUAGCAUUGUUAGUUGUAGGUGAAGUUGAAGAUUGCUUCAUGAUGGACAGGAUUAUUUCGGGAUAUCACAAUAUCUCUUAAUUAAUUAAUGCAUCUAUAUACUUGGUAAAGGGUGGAAGACUCGGCCUUAUGCCUAGUGUUUUGUUCCACUCUUGCCGCCCUAGUUUCCGUCAUACCGGUGUUAUGUUCCCGGAUUUUGCGUUCCUUACGCGGUUGGGUGAUUUAUGGGACCCCCUUGACAGUUCGCUUUGAAUAAAACUCCUCCAGCAAGGCCCAACCUUGGUUUUACNNNNNNNNNNNNNNNNNNNNNNNNNNNNNNNNNNNNNNNNNNNNNNNNNNNNNNNNNNNNNNNNNNNNNNNNNNNNNNNNNNNNNNNNNNNNNNNNNNNNNNNNNNNNNNNNNNNNNNNNNNNNNNNNNNNNNNNNNNNNNNNNNNNNNNNNNNNNNNNNNNNNNNNNNNNNNNNNNNNNNNNNNNNNNNNNNNNNNNNNNNNNNNNNNNNNNNNNNNNNNNNNNNNNNNNNNNNNNNNNNNNNNNNNNNNNNNNNNNNNNNNNNNNNNNNNNNNNNNNNNNNNNNNNNNNNNNNNNNNNNNNNNNNNNNNNNNNNNNNNNNNNNNNNNNNNNNNNNNNNNNNNNNNNNNNNNNNNNNNNNNNNNNNNNNNCUCCUUUGAGUGUUGGCCCGAACUGAGCUGCCUGCGGGGCCACCUCGGGGAAACUUGAGGGCUGGUUUUACUCGUAGCUAGUCUCAUCCGGUGUUGCCCUGAGAACGAGAUAUGUGCAGCUCCUAUCGGGAUUUGUCGGCACAUCGGGCGACUUUGCUGGUCUUGCUUUACCAUUGUCGAAAUGUCUUGCGAACCGGGAUUCCGAGUUUGAUCGGGUCUUCCCGGGAGAAGGUAUAUCCUUCGUUGACCGUGAGAGCUUGUGAUGGGCUAAGUUGGGACACCCCUACAGGGUAUAAUCUUUCGAAAGCCGUGCCUGCAGUUAUAGGCAGAUGGGAAUUUGUUAAUGUCCGGUUGUAGAGAACUUGAUACUUGACCUCUUUAAAAUGCAUCAACCGUGUGUGUAGCCAUGAUGGUCUCUUUUCGGCGGAGUCCGGGAAGUGAACACGGUUUUGGGUUAUGUUUGACGUAAGUAGGAGUUCAGGAUCACUUCAUGAUCAUUGCUAGCUUCACGACCGUUCCAUUUGCUCUCUUCUCGCUCUUAUUUGCAUAUGUUAGCCACCAUAUCAUGCUUAUUCGCUGCUGCAACCUCACCACUUCACCCCUUCCUUUCCCAUAAGCUUAAAUAGUCUUGAUCUCGCGGGUUUUGAGAUUGCUGAGUCCUCGUGACUCACUAGAUACUAUCACAACAGUUGCAGGUGCCGAUGAUACCAGUACAGGGGAUGCAACCGAGCUCAGAUGGGAGCUCAACGAAGACCUUGGUUGUUGCUAUGUAUCGUUUCAUGUUAAUCAGUAGUGGAGCCCAGUUGGGACGAUCGGGGAUCUAGCAGUUGGGUUAUCUUCUUUUCUUUUGGCUUCGUCCGUAGUCGGACUUAUGUGUGUACUCUGAAUGAUGUAUGAUUUAUUAUAUGUUCAUUGUGUGAAGUGGCAAUUGUAAGCCAACUCUUUAUCCCAUUCUUGUUCAUUACAUGGGAUUGUGUGAAGAUGACCCUUCUUGCGACAAAACCACCAUGCGGUUAUGUCUCUAAGUCGUGCUUCGACACGUGGGAAAUAUAGCCGCAUCGUGGGUGUUACAGUGCUGCACCACCCUCCUCCUUCUUAUAAAUACACACCCCUCACGGUCAAAAUUCCUUCUUCCACCUUGCCACCUCGCUCAAACCCUAGCGCCUCCGCUAGCUCGCGUUGACGCCGGAGAUGAAGCGCUUAGAUGUCGCGAUUUCUUCGACGUCGUCCUCACGCUAGCCGCGGACCUCUUCCUCUCUGCUGCCGCCAAGUUAGGGCACGGGAGAUUGGACUGCUCGGCCCCCCGUCUACUUCGUCUAGCAGUUCAUCUGUGGUAAUUAAAACCUACUUUUUAUAGUCUUUUCGAUCUAUCAAAUCCAUCCACUUCAACCAAAAGUGGUUUAUACACUUCCAAAUCUGGAUUUGUCUCUUUCUGAAUCUCAUAUAUUGCAAAGUAUGUUCACUUAUGCUUCAAAACUAGUUAGAUUCCUCACUUGUACCUAUUCGCGGAUUCAUACAAAUCUGGAACCAACUUCCUUCAAUAAGUGAAUGUCUUCGCACUGUGAGGUCAAUGUCUUCUCAACUGAUUUAUCUUCAAAAUCUUCUGAGAAUGCAUAUGACCUCUUCCCCUUCCCUUGCAUCUCUAAUGUUGUCACAGGUACAUGUCCGUGGGAGAAUCCCUUGGUUCUCAUAGUUGCAUUCAUUUGCAGAAUUCUUACAGCGUCACAUCGAAUCUCCUGAAGCCAGUUCUUGCCUGACCAGCAAACGGAAGCCUUUCACUGUUUUGAAGCCAAUCAGUCUGAACCUUAUGGCUUCAGAGAAGUCUGCAAGGAAAGGAGGCAGGCAACGGCAUGGCAACACUACACUUGAUUUGCCUGAAGAUCUGUAUGAGCUCUACAAGUCUAACCCACAGGAGAGCUACACCCAGCGCAAGAACCGGAUCUAGUGGAUCCGAAGAUAUUGGGCAGAGCAAUGGUUCAAGUACAGGUUUGUAACUACUGAAUAUGCUGAAAAGAAUGCCAUCAAGCGCCCGUGGGGUGACUGUUUGUACCGUGGUUUGGUACCAAAGAAUAAGGCUGAAGCUAUUGAACAAGGGUUAUAUCCCUGUAUGGCCAGAGGACCACAGCCUGAUAAUGCCGAUCCAUCUUCUCUCUUAUGGUGUCGUGAAGACAAUCUUUUCAAGCGCAACUUCCAAUUUGCAAAAGAUUAUGCAGCUAAGAACCAAAAGGAGUUUGUCCUCAACCUCAACCCUGGCCACUCCACUCCGAGACCAGAUGGAACUCGUGAAGCCAAUGAGAACAGGAUUGGCCCCUUCGCCAACUUCGAUGGGCUUCUGUCUCAUAUUGCUGCCCAGAGAGCUGUUGUGGAGCAAUCUGCUGAAGAAGCAGAUUCUGAUGAUGCUCCAUCACCACCAAAGCAUAAGAAGAAGAAGAAGAAGAAGAAGAAGAAGAAGAAGAAGAAGAAGAAGAAGAAGAAUAAGAAGAAGAAGAAGAAGAAGAAGAAGAAGAAGAAGGCAAAAGCUUCAAAGCCUUCUACCUCUGCUGCUCCAAAAGCUUCAACCAAGAAGUCACUAACAACUGCAUCGCCAGAAUCCAGUGUGUAGUUUGAAGAUUUAUCUCGCGUGUCCAAGAGGACCAAGAGGCAAUUUCCCAAGAAGGCUACUGGGCAACCCCUCACCCCUGCUUCCAUUCUGCGCAACGAGGAUGACACCAUUGAUCUUUCCAGCGAUGAAGAUCUUGGUGAUGAAGCAUUUGAGAUGCUGAUCAAGAGUAAGCAAGAGGCAGAGAUCUUCAGUGAUCUGCCCCUCUUUGAUGUUGACAUCUUGAACAAUUUCAUUGAUGAGCAGUUUGACGACCAGAACAUCAGCAUUGACAGUCCGCAGCUACUAGUGGGCAUUAGCGUCACAUUCCACUCUGCAAUUGCUAAUGAGCUGGCCCUGGCACAGAAACUCAUCGAGCUCAAGAACAAAAUUGACUAUGAGAAGGCCCACUUCAAGAAGAACGUGCACAAGCUCAGUGUGGCAAAUGUGCAAAUCUUCAAGAAGAUGUUGCAUGACCUCAAAACUGAAUUUUGUAAGAAGCAUGAAGAAGCCAAAGGCUCUCGAGAACGCAUGAAGUCUUAUGCUCAGAAAUGUGUGCAAGCGCACAAUGAAGCUGAAAAUAGGAAAGCUCUUGGGUGUCGUGGCAUUGAUCCCAGAAUGGCUGCUAAGAAGAGCAAGAAGCAUGCUGAAGCUAAUCCUAACACUGCAAGGCAGGGACAACCCAGCAUUGUCUUCCCUACCAGCAUGAUUGGCUCGGAGCUAAAGGUCCCCUUAGCUACUUCUGAGCUCAAAAAGACUAGGCAAGCUAAGCAGAAGCGAGGAAGAGGAAGCACAAGGAUACAUCUGAUGAUGCCCCCUCCAAGAAAAAGCUGAAGACUAAGGGCUCUAAGUCUUCAAGGAAAGAUCAUGCUGCUGCCUCUGAGCCCCUUGUUGUUGAACCCAUCUAUGUUGUAUAUCCUGCCUCUGCUAAUCGCGAGCGCGGUCUCGUUGUUCAUGAGCCUGCUCCCACAGAGGCUCCAGAAUCUGAUGAAGUUCCAGCUGUUGACCUCAAUGCAACUGAAGACAUUAGUCAUGAAGACAAUGUAGUUGAUGAUGAAGUCCUUCCUCAGCUCGAGCGCCAGUUGGUAUCAUCGCCUACUCCAACGAGCAGUGAAUAUAUUAGAAUUGGUCGUCCAUUGACGCCAAUCGCUCAAGAUGACUCCUAGGCUGAGCGCCAACAAGAAGAUACCCAUGUUCAAGAUGAGACACCCCAUACUCCACCAGCUCAAGUUACCUAUCUGGUACUUGAUGAUGACAGUUAAAUGGAGACCACUCCAUCUACAAAGGUGUCGCCAGCGUUUUGCAGGCUUCGCAAAGGUCUCAAGCCAUCCGUCUCCAUGUCCACCAUUCCAGAAGAAGAUUCACAACAAUCCAGCUCAGUGGCACAUCAAGUAUUCCCUGAAGAGAAUCCUUCUGCGACUGAUCAAGCAUCUGAAGCUAAUGCUGCUGAAGACAUUCCGGUUGCAAUCAGCCGAUGAAGAAAGAAGAGAACAAGAAAGAGAAGCCACACCCCCUGUUGUUGAUCAAGUCAUUCUUAAAGAGAAUGUGAUCGUGUUUGACCCUCCGAUCAUUGACCAAAUGGAUGUUGAAAACAACGAGGCUGCCACCAACACUGCUAUUGAAGCCAAUGACCCUGUCAUGGUUAAAGACAAUGUGGAGACUGAAGCCAAUGUGAAUGUUGAAGCUACUGUGACACCAGUCAUCACUGAUGGUGUUGUUCCUCCACCAUGGCCUCGCACAAUGGAAUUGGCUUUCAAUCAUGACGAUCAUCUAGUCACUGUUCGCUGGCCAAUUGUGAUUCCUCCUACCGCUCCAGGACCACAAUAUGACUAUCAUGUGGAGUGAAGGCCUCAAGUCCAGAAGCCAAAGCCGCGUCUGCCAAGGCUUCCUAGCGCUAUAACUACCCAAGGCUCAUUCAGUGUGCUCAGUAUCAGAGAAGACAAUACAUUCUUUGAUAGUGCCAAGAACCCUUACAAGAAGCAAAGAAUCUCAUCUGACAGAUUUUGGAGCCACCAACAGCGAAGCUAUUGCAUUCUGUACAAUCAAGACAGGAUUUUUCCGCACAGGCGUCUGGAUUGUGAUGCUAUGGCUAGGCUGCCAUUUCUAGAAGAAGCCCUUGACUGCUUUAGGGAUGUUGGUCUUCUGGCAUUUGUCACUGAUAAAGAGCACUGGAAUGAAGAGCUCCUCCUAUAGUUCUAUGCCACCUUACACAUUCGAGGCUACAACAGGGAUCCGAAGACUUGGAUCUUUGAGUGGAUGAUAGGUGAUGUGCAUCACGAAGCAAAAGCUCAGGAUAUCAUCGAGCUAACUUCCUUGCCCACUCUAGGUGAGCUUUACGAACCUGGUUGUUUGUUUUAUCAGAAUGAACUACAGAGCAUAUUUCAGAAGCCUGAGCCGAACAUGAGCCAAAUGCUUAGCAUGAUGAAGCAUUUGCCCCAAGACACUAAAUAUCCAAAGGAAUUCUUUGUUAAGGACCUCGAGUAUCUGCCACGCAUAGUAUAUCACAUUCUGAGGCAUACUCUCUGCCCAUCAAAGGCCAUUCAUCUGAAGCCAAACUUGAAGGAUCCAUGAAGACUUUGGUGUUCUAUAUCGUCAAUGGCAUCAGAUUCAACACUCGGGAUUUCUUCAUCAGACAACUUGCUGCUUCCGGGAUUGAUCUAUUUGGUCUGAAGUUCUAUGCUCCAUGGGUGAUGCGCUUGAUUAAGCUUCAUUCAACUAUUGACUAUCGGCCAUCAGCUCGCAACCACAUUGUCUUCUUGCCUGAUGUUGAUAUGUCUGUUGAAGCCAUCUACCCUGAGCCUGUAAAGGAACCCCUCCAUCUUUAGAAUGCUGAGUUCCAGAGCUUCACACAACCCAUUGAUAGUGUUCAUGUGCCCAAUGCUGCAACUCAUGCAUAUCCCUUGGCUGGAAACCUGCACCUACCGCAUCAUGCAAACACUGAAGCCACUGGAAGCACCAUUGCACAAAGGCCUCAGAAGUGUCCUCGUGUUCUCAAUGACCGUGAGCUUCUGGUGGCUUUACAUCAAAAGCAGGACAAACAUCAUGAUUGGCUAAAGCGUCAGAUGAAGAGUAUCUUGGUGGAUGUCAAUUGCAUUCGCAACUUAGCCACCAAGAACUCGUUUGUUGCUCAUGAAGCUUGUCGUUGUUCCUGGAAGAGUCUCACCUUGCUAUGCGCUGAAGAUGAACUUCGCGCGGAUGGCUUCACUGAAAACUUCAAGUUUGACACCAGGCCUCCUCAAAAUGCAAGUUGGCAUCGCACACCCUCCAUUGAAGAUUCUGAGUAUUCAUCCUCGACGGCAACUGUUGUUGCGAGAGUCGUCGAUGAAGAAGAUGACGCUACUUUGCCUGCUCUCACUGCUCAACAUGAUGAUGAUGCAUAAGGCCUGUCUGCACCACCUAACUCCACCAUCGACCCUGCUGCUCCAACAUCGUCUCCAACUGGGAAUGAGUAGAUACUCUAUGUCUUCAAACCUUUUUGGUCAUUACUGACAAAAGGGGGAGAAGCAUAUGAGUUGAUAGUCUUCAAGUGGGUCCAUAUGGGUGGUUGCUUAUUUUUUUUGCUGAGUUCUUACAACUCUUGUUCUGAAACAUUUGGCUUUUGAGUUGUAACACUUAAAUUUGAUGGUCGUCUGCUACUUUUGCUGGCACUUUGUGAUGCGAUGAUAAAUUCUGCAUGAAGUCAUUCUGCAGAUGUCCAUUUUCCAUUAUGCAUAUCAUUAUCUUCAUUAUCUUCUUAUAUGCAUGAUGCAUUAUCUUCACACUUUGAAGAUGGCCUCCACAAAGCAAAACCUGCCAUGUGCAUUUGCAUUCAAAAGCAAACUAUUUAUAUGCACAUCUUCAGGGGGAGCCUCGCCAUAUGUAUGAAGACAAUACUCACAACACUGAACUUUCACAUACUUUUAUCCCUGUUGAAAACUUCAACCAGUUUUUCAUCAAUCCCUAAAAAGGGAGAGAUUGUAAGUGCAUCUAGUGCCAACCCUAGUUGGUUUUGGAGUGUUGACAACAAACAUGGUUGAAGGACUAAUGUGUGUGUGAGAAUUGCAGAUUAACACAGGUAGUGUCCCUCAUUGAUUCAGUUUAACUACCAGAGAUGACCCCUAAAAAUGUGAGAAGACAUUGAAGACAAUGGUGGUUCGUGAGACAGUCACGACGAAGAUUAUGACGCGUGAAGCUAUUCACUUGAAGACUAUGGAGUGCGAGGACAUAGUUGUUUCGUAGUUUCCUUUUCUUCUUAUUGAGUCAUAGGAACCACCAUACUAUUAAGUGUGUCCAAGUGAACAAAAUCAGAGUGACUGAAGUGAUGCUCAACCAAAUCCUAUGUCUUCGAGCGAAGACGAUGAGAGCAAAUCUUAUCCAGAGCUGGAUGAGUCAGCUUUGCUUGUAGCCCAAGCCAAGCUAUCACGUGUGUUUGAAAUCUGACCGUUGGACACGUGUCAGUUCCUUAGUGACCUAGGGUCAUUUUGGACAAAUCAGGUCGGGUUGCCUCCUGGCUAUAAAUAGCCCACCCCCUACACCAUAAAUUGGUGGCUUAUUAGAGUUAGUGCACGACUUUUGUCGUUUGAGAUCAACCCACCUCCGAAGCAUUUGAGAGAGAAAUCCUUGCGAGGACAAAGCCCAAAACACCCAGAGCCAAAGAGUGUUAGGCAUCACUGAAGUCUUUCUGUCCGCUGAUCUGAAGACUUAUUACACUUGAGGACUGUGAAUCCUCCAGCUGGUUAGGCAUCGCGUUCUGAGCAUCCAAGAGUCAUUGUGGAUUGCCGGUGAACAAAGUCUAUGAAGGUUUGAAAGUCUACCUUGAAGACUUACCAGAGUGAUUGGGCGAGGACUGGGUGUCCUUAGCUCAAGGGGAAUAAGGUGAAGACACGGUCUUCUGAGUUAAAUCUCAGCCUCCCUAACCAGACGUACAGUUGUUACAGCAACUGGAACUGGUCUACCAAAUCCUUGUCUUCGUCAAGCUACUGGUUAUAUCCUAUACUCUCCUUACUUUACAGUUGUCUUCGUGAAGUUAUUGCUUACUUGUCUAAUCUGUUUGACUUCACACUGUGAAGACUAUUAUCUGUUUAGCUUCGUACUAUCUACCUUUCUCAUCAUGUCUACCUAGUUGCUAUUAGUCUUCAUGUUUUCAUUAUGUUGUAUGUUAGACUUAUGCUUACCUUGUGUAGUUUUCAUUCCGCUGCUUACUAAUUAGGCUCAGUUACUUGUUUGUCUUCAAAGCCACCGUGUUUUGAAGACUUUCAUAAAAAUCGCCUAUUCACCCCACCCCCCCACCCCUAGUCGGUAACUAGCACUUUCAACUAUGCUGCCCCGCAUCUCACUCCGCGGCAACAUUUUGUGUCCAUCAUCAUCGUCGGCCAUCACGUGUCAUACAAUGUCAAUCUUAACCCAGAGCACACCUUCACGAAGUCGCAGUUGCCAACUUCUGUCCGUUCACGAAUGCCGGCUCCCACGCCCUUCAGUGCCAUGUCUCUGUUUGCCGGGAUGUUUCAACCGGGUGUGGUGGUGUGUGUGAUUGUGAUUUUUUUGCGCUCAUAACACCGUUGUUUAAUCCAAAUAAUCCUAGAAUUCCUGGGAAAUCACUUUGAUGUUGCCACUAAUAACUAAUGAACACGAGAAAUCAUGAAACCCUUUUGUUUAAUGUUUUCCAUGGGAAAUGGUCAUAAACAUAGAAGAAUAUCAUCGUUGUAGAAGGAAAUACGAAAUUUGGUGGAAUAGGCAAAUCAACAGGAGACGCAGGAAGCAGUCCAAAGCACAAGACAACACAUUGUACGAGGGCACCCCGCUCGUACAACCGUUUUUUGGAAUAGGCUGCUCCGACGCUUUGUGGUUGUGAUUUUAUAUGUUUACACUUAUAUUUAUGUAUGCUAAAAUUCUUAUUAAUCAACAUAAGCAUGUCAAAUACAGAGGUCGGGUCCGGGACAGACACUUGGUGCACCUGGUUAGAUGACCGGCUCGCUGCCGAUGCAUGCGGACACAUUAAGAUGCAUCCGUGGAUGUUUAAUGUGUUCAAUUUGAUGCACAACGCCUAAGCAUGUCUCCAACACGAACCCUCCAACUGUCUGCAUCCGUCCGGACCGCGUGGUCUAGACGGUUUUUCUAUCCAAUAUGAUCAUGUAUCCGUCCGAUGGCCGGUCCAGAUGUCCUUUUUUCGUAAACCAAAAAAAAACCUGGGGGCUUCGUGGGCGUCCGGACAGCUACCACGCCCGCUUCCGACAACCAUGGCCCACACAAAACCUUCUCCUUCACCCGUGCCCUUUCCUACCUAAGGAGGUCAGCGCCGCUCAGGAGCAUCAUCGUCGUAUUCAUGUUGGCCAAAGGUUGACACGACCUCUCACUGAAGCCGGCAUUGAAGUGGCGCACCGACCGAAAGUGCCGCCCACUCAUGUCUUCCCUCCGCAUUGAAACGACAUUCGUCCGCAUACCCUCAUUAAACUAGUGCGUCUGCCGAGGAACCUACACUGGCUCACCGAGCGCCAUACGUUCGUCCGCAUCCGGCCGGCAUUAAACACCCCGCCGCUUGGCGCCUAGCAUCCGCCUAUUAUUUAAAUGUGGCUAGGCGCUCGGCAAUUGCCACAACACACCUUCGCUCUCCGUAUCCUCCUUGCACCACACCCGUCAUGGCCUUGAGUUCCAAAGCCCUAUGGGACGGCCUCUCCGGCGAGCAGAAGAAGGAACUCUCCCGCAUUGCAGCCGGCUGGGUGACCCGCCGUGACAGUAGGAUACAGGUUGGCUUGUCAGCGAGCUCUCCAGAGGGUAGCAACACGGACAAGCCGACGCAACCGCCCUCGUCGGUCUAGGCCGCCAUCACCAUUGGCGAGGCAUGGGAACACUGCACCGACUUGGUGUUGGAAGAACAAGAGGCCGCGUUCCGGCAGGCGCACGUCGGCCAGAGGUACAACCUCCGCAUCCUCGACGAGCACUGGCAUGCGAAAGAGCAAAUCAUCGGCACGUUCAUCAUGGCAAACAUGGACGAGUAGAAGGCGAUGCUCCUGUCCUACGCAGCAGCCAGUGAAAUCCGCCACGAGCGAUCGUGGCACAGGUCCCUGCAGGCGGAGAAAGAAGCCAUGUUCAUGAAGAUUGACGCGGCGGCGGAGGGAUUUGAUUGGAGCACACUGAUGUCAUCGCUAGCUCUGCGUCGGCCGCACCCCGCCGCCAUGACGAUGAAGCCGGCAUGUCCGUGGCUAUUGCCGAUAGCGAGGAAAAGUAGACCAUGGAAGACUGUCGCUUCUUGUGUCCUAGGAAGGCCACCGCCACCGUCUUGUCGGGCGUCACAGUCGGUGGCUUGCCUGCUUCACGGGGGCAUAGGCCACCACAACUAUCUUCCCUCGCCCAAAAACCAACCGUUCAUCCGUGCUUCACGGAGGCAGAGCCUAUUCUUCCCCUCGCGCUGAAGCAUUUAGCUCUGGGGCUGGCGACGGUCCAGUGAGCUUGUUGUCGGACAUGGGGAAGACAUGUCGUGGCAAACAGGCUAUGUCGCGGCCGACGAUAGACUAGGUUAGAAUCCGCCAUAGUUUAGUUAAAAUAUUCUGAAAUGUAAAUGUGUUCGUCCGGUUUGCAUGAAUUUUGGUUUGUUGAAAUCCAUUUUGAAAUGUAUGCGGACAAGAACUGAUCCAUCAAUCCAUGGAUGGAUACGGUGCCCGGUUUAGAGGGUCAACGGGAGAUGCCCUAAGCAAGCAUUGGAAUGUUUGGUACCUGACCAAGCUCGCUCUUCCAAAUAGAUGAUGCAUGAGUGAUACGUUGGUGACUGUACAGAGUUCUUCUUUUAUCUGCUUCUCGGCCGCACGAAAAGGUUGUUUUUUUCAGCACAGAGUCCAUUAGACCGGUUUUUCAUCAAACGGCAGAGGAUGCUCGCUAGGUCCCACUGCCUUUUUAUGAAAAAACAUACUGAUGUGGUAGACUCCGGAUUGGGACAGCCCAAGGUGCCCGCCAUCAGCACACUACUACUGACGUACUGUACCAUUCUGUGUUGUUCUGUGGUUUUCAACUACCAAACCCACCAGUACAAGGGAUGUCUUUUCUCCUUGGUUAUAUAAUGAAGCUGAUAUGCACAAGCCAAGUCUCUUGGACAAUCGUUACAAAGAGGAAAGAGGAGAAGAUCGUGAAGCCAUGGGAGGAGUUGGGGGAGGAGGAACAGGUAGAGGAAGAGGCGAUCGCCAAGCAGAGCCGCUGCUUCGGAAGCUCUCUGAAUCCUCUUCUGACAAUUCUUCGGAGGAGCAUCUAGUGAAAAGAACCGGUAAGUCCCUGCAUCAGGAUUAUAAUUAUAUACCUUGUUUUUAUACUGGAUGAUUCGUCAGAAGCUAUGUCAUGAGCUUCCAAGUUCCAAACCCAGCCCCAUGUCUGAAACUUCUGGUUUUGAUGUGUUCUUCGCGGUGUACAUCCAGCCAGCCAGCCAGCCAUAUAGUUUGCUUUUCCACAUAAUACAUGAACUAUCUUGAUCUAUAUGCAUGUAAAUAGCCAAAAUAAGAAUCUGCCAUGGAAAUACUCAAACCAUGUAAAGGAAAAACAUUCAUGUCAUUUACACAUCCAGCUCGAUGGUGCUGAAGGUUCGGCGAGAAACUAAGCUGCCAGUCACUGUCAAUGAUGACAGUGGGUUCCACUUUGGGCCUGGCCGGCCACAACAGCGACGCCAAAGCAUAACCACAAUUCCAAACACAUCACAACUGCUCCUCCGCGUGCCCCUCUCAAGAUGACUUCAUACCCCGGCGUGAGUCGUCACUUGCUUGCACGGCUAGACAAUAGGCAUGAUGUCUAGUAAUUGUCUAUGUGUGCAUUCUGCCGACGGAAAAGUUUUGAUCUGUGGAGCUUCCUUGACAGGCACGGUAUGGACGGCGAUGGCGCACGUCAUCACGGCGGUGAUAGGGUCCGGCGUGCUGUCGCUGGCGUGGAGCGUGGCGCAGCUCGGCUGGGUCGGGGGGCCGGCGGCCAUGGUGCUCUUCGCCGGGGUGACCGUGGUACAGUCCUCCCUGCUCGCCGACUGCUACAUCUCCCGCGACCCGGAGCGCGGCGCCGCCGUCAGGAACAGGUCCUACGUCGACGCCGUCAGGCUCUACCUAGGUGAUCAUCAUAUCAUUAUAUUCGUACCUUAGUACUGUUUACAAAAAAAACAUUUUAAUGUGCGUGCGCUUGCAGGCGAGAAGAGCCAGAUGCUCAGCGGGUUUUUCCUCGGCUUCAGCUUGUUUGGGAACAGCGUGGUGUACACUCUCACCGCGGCCGCUAGCAUGAGGUAGUAAUAAACUUGUGGUUACUUUUUCUUUUCUUUUUUGGGCGGGUAAAGUUGUGAUUAGUUGGCCAACUCUUAUUUUGCAGGGCGAUCGAGAGAGCCAACUGCUACCACAGGGAAGGCCACGGCGCGCCGUGCUGCGCCGCCACCGCCGGCGGGUCGUCGGACGCCUACUACAUGCUCCUGUUCGGCCUCGCGCAGGUGGCGCUGUCGCAGAUACCGGACUUCCACAGCAUGGCGUGGCUCUCCGUCUUCGCCGCCGCCAUGUCCUUCUCCUACUCCUUCAUCGGCUUCGGCCUCGGCGCCGCCAAAGUGAUCGGUAGGUGCAGAAACCACAGCAUAAUGCUCCCGCCCACACGUACGUGCGUGCGUGUCAUGAGAUGUGCCUCCAUUUUCUUUCAGAGAAUGGAGUCAUCAAGGGCGGGAUCGGAGGCGUCUCCCUGGUGUCCCCGGCGCAGAAGGUGUGGCGCGUGGCGCAGGCCCUGGGCGACAUCGCCUUCGCCUACCCGUUCUCCCUGGUGCUGCUGGAGAUCGAGGACACGCUGAGAUCGCCGCCGGCGGAGAGCCAGACGAUGAAGGCGGCGGCGAGGGCCAGCAUCGCGGUCACCACCUUCUUCUACCUCGGGUGCGGGUGCUUCGGCUACGCGGCGUUCGGGGACGACACCCCGGGGAACCUCCUCACCGGCUUCGGGGAGCCCUACUGGCUGGUCGGCCUCGCCAACCUCUGCGUCGUCCUCCACCUCCUCGGCGGCUACCAGGUGUACGCGCAGCCCAUGUUCGCGCUCGUGGAGCGGCGGUUCGGCGCCGGCGUGGUCGACGCGGAGAUGCCGCUGCUCGGCCGCGUGAGCGUGUCCAGGCUGUGCUUCCGCACGGCGAACGUGGCGGCGGCGACGGCGGUGGCCGUGUGGUUCCCCUACUUCAACCAGGUGGUCGGGCUGAUCGGCGCCUUCACCUUCUGGCCGCUGGCCAUCCACUUCCCCGUCCAGAUGUACCUCGCGCAGGGCAAGGUGGCGCCGUGGACGGGGCGGUGGCUCGCCAUCCAGGCCUUCAGUGCCGGCUGCCUGGUCGCCUGCGGCUUCGCCUCGGUUGGCUCUGCCAUGGGGGUGUUCGGCCCCGAGAGAAGCUAGCUGCAACCAACUGAGCCAAAAUUAAUAGUCUCUAUUCUCUAGUACUUAGCUAGGAUAUGUAUAAAUGGGAAAGAUAUACUCUAAUUCAAAGGGGAACACGCCAGAGAUAUUUUAAGCACCAAUGUGACAUUAGCAAACACAAGAGUUUUAGCUUCAUCUCUGCACGAUACAUGUGUCCUUUUAAUGUGACAAUACAACAUGCCGAAUCACAUGGACAAAUUACAAGACAUUGUACAGCCUUCAUUUUUACACAUUUCGGCCAUGAGAAAAAGCUAAGCUUCGGUAACUAGAUAGGUUUCGAAGCCAUCCAGCAUAAAUUACAAAACAUUUAUGCUUUCUGAGUUAACUUUGACAGGGAUACAGCGAGGCUUAUUUAAUCUAGACGAGCCCAUUCCAGUUCUAACUCCAUCUCACCUGAUUCUACGUUCUGCAGCUUUAGGUAAACUUCCUGUUUUACCUUUCCCGACGAAAUAUUGACAAUGCUGUCGCUCAACAGGCAAUUGUCUCUGGUCAUGAACCACCUUCCAAUUUGCAUGUCCGCGUGACGCGACGGGUCUCCAAAAGCCAUAGCAGCUGUGAUCAUUGGCUUCAGAUCUAUCUCUGCUUCCCCCAUGAUAUCGUCAGCAGAGAAAGUGUCGUGAUCAUACACUUCCUGGAAACAGUAAGAUUGUAUCAGGGAGUGAGGAAAAAAACAUUGUCUUGCCUGAUUUGUUACUGUUCGCAAGGACUACAUGAAUUUAUUGAAGAGUUUCUUUUCUCACAUAUGUGUGUGCUUCAAUGAUGAGCUAUCAUUUGAGACAUCAUGAAAUCUCUGUCGAGAACUACAAUUUGGUAACAUCAUAAGAUAUUCAAACAUGUGUACCCUACCAUACCAUACCAGCCCAUUGGACACAAAGUUUUCCAGUCAGACAAGUGGACUACAGUUAAAUGCAUCUGAAGUAAUAAGGAAGCAAAUAUAUGAAUCUUUGCGCUUCCACUGCACAGAAAUCUUGACAAAAAUGAUGAUGUUCAUAAGGUGCUCUUCAUCAUGGAAUCAUCCCUUCGUCUCGUAGUUGGUUCACUAACUAAGGCACAUGUCCAUAACUGAUAUUGAUGCAACAAAAACUUAUCGACAAGGUAUGUUGCAGUUGAAAUAUGGGAAUGUUAAUGUGAUCAAGCCAGCUAUUUAUUAAACUCUUUAUUUUGGCAUUAAUCAAGUAGUAAUAGUUAACUAGGUUUGCAAUAGUUAAAAUCUGCUUAUAUAUAAUUGACUGAAGUGCAUCAUAGGUCCUCAAACUAUUUCAGAAGUGUCAUGUAGGUCCUCGAACUAUGAAAAUCGCUAUCUAGGUCCUCAAAGUGCAAUAUGUGUGUCAUCCAGGUCCUCAAACUAUUUCAGAAGUGUCAUGUAGGUCCUCAAACUAUGAAAAUCGCCAUCUAGGUCCUCAAAGUGCAAUAUGUGUGUCAUCCAGGUCCUCAAACUAUUUCAGAAGUGUCAUGUAGGUCCUCAAACUAUGAAAAUGCCAUCUAGGUCCUCAAAGUGCAAUAUGUGUGUCAUCCAGGUCCUCAAACUAUUUCAAAAGUGUCACGUAGGUCCUUGAUCUAUUUUAGAGGUGUCAC
rnacentral:lncRNA from 1 species